AGCAGCCGCGGUAAUUCCAGCUCCAAUAGCGUAUAUUAAAGUUGUUGCAGUUAAAAAGCUCGUAGUUGAAUUUCGGAAUCUGUCCGUUGGUCGGGCUUCACUGUCCGUACUGAUGUGAUGGGUUCUUACCUUCUGAAUAACCAUCAUGUCAUUAAUUUGGUGUGUUGGGGAAGCAGGACUAUUACCUUGAAAAAAUUAGAGUGCUCAAAGCAGGCUAGUGCCUGAAUACAUUAGCAUGGAAUAAUAAAAUAGGACGGCAUGGUUCUAUUUUGUUGGUUUCUAGGAUCACCGUAAUGAUUAAUAGGGAUAGUUGGGGGCAUUAGUAUUCAAUUGUCAGAGGUGAAAUUCUUGGAUUUAUUGAAGACUAACUUCUGCGAAAGCAUUUGCCAAGGAUGUUUUCAUUAAUCAAGAACGAAAGUUAGGGGAUCGAAGACGACCAGAUACCGUCGUAGUCUUAACCAUAAACUAUGCCGACUAGGGAUCGGACGAUGUUAAUUUUAUAAUGACUCGUUCGGCG
rnacentral:rRNA from 1 species